rnacentral:siRNA from 1 species
AACAAUACAAUACUCUUCGUGUCU